GAUGAACGCUAGCGGCAGGCUUAAUACAUGCAAGUCGUGGGGCAGCGCAGUGUAGCAAUACAUGGGCGGCGACCGGCAAACGGGUGCGUAACACGUACGCAACCUUCCCGUUACUGGGGAAUAGCCCAGGGAAACUUGGAUUAAUACCCCAUAUUAUAUUGAUUGGGCAUCUAAUUAAUAUCAAAGCUUCGGCGGUAAUGGAUGGGCGUGCGGUUGAUUAGGUAGUUGGCGGGGUAACGGCCCACCAAGCCUACGAUCAAUAGCUGAUGUGCGAGCAUGAUCAGCCACACGGGCACUGAGACACGGGCCCGACUCCUACGGGAGGCAGCAGUAAGGAAAAUUGGGCAAUGGACGAAAGUCUGACCCAGCCAUGCCGCGUGGAGGAUGAAGGUCCUCUGGAGUGUAAACUUCUUUUUUCUGGGGCGAAAACCGGUUUUUCUAAACCAUUUGACAGUACCAGAAGAAUAAGCACCGGCUAACUCCGUGCCAGCCGCCGCAGUAACAC
rnacentral:rRNA from 1 species